rnacentral:lncRNA from 1 species
GCACUGUGGGGGCAGCUGACUCUCCUCAUAGUAUCCUGGUGGCCUCUCUUCUCCCAAGCCUUGAAUUUGCCCCGGAGCGCAGGCUUCUGGGUAACUUGACAGCCUGAAUCUAAGGCUCACCCAGAUCUGGAGAGGCCCUUCUUGAAAUGUUUUGUUAUACACAACAAAAUGGGAUCCACAAAUGGAGAUUCAAGACUGGACUUCUCCCUCCCUUCCCCUCUCCCUCUUAGCUGAGCAUUGCCUGGAACAAUACUGAGAAAUCACAUGUUUCUGUCAGAGUCUCAGAGGUUAUCCUGAACUUUUGAUCCUCCUGUCUCAGCCUUCAAGUACUGAGAUUACAGGCAGGCACUACCAUGUUCAGUUUCUGUGGUGCUGGGCUGAGGUAACCUAGCGAGACAGCUCUAAAAUGCUAAAAUUCAAAUUGGCUUUUAUUCCAUAGCCAGUGAAAAUCACUUUAAAAAUGAAGGCAAAAUCAAGCACUGUGGGAGCUCUAAAGCAGAGAGGCCUGGGU